rnacentral:tRNA from 1 species
GAGGGUACAGCUUAGUGGUAGAGCGCAUGCUUAGCAUGCACGAGGUCCUGGGUUCACUCCCCAGUACCUCCA